rnacentral:rRNA from 1 species
ACCCAGGUAACAAGGUUUCCGUAGGUGAACCUGCGGAAGGAUCAUUCCGAGUGCGGGCUGCCUCCGGGCGCCCAACCUCCCACCCGUGACUACCUAACACUGUUGCUUCGGCGGGGAGCCCCCCAGGGGCGAGCCGCCGGGGACCACUGAACUUCAUGCCUGAGAGUGAUGCAGUCUGAGCCUGAAUACAAAUCAGUCAAAACUUUCAACAAUGGAUCUCUUGGUUCCGGCAUCGAUGAAGAACGCAGCGAACUGCGAUAAGUAAUGUGAAUUGCAGAAUUCAGUGAAUCAUCGAGUCUUUGAACGCACAUUGCGCCCCCUGGCAUUCCGGGGGGCAUGCCUGUCCGAGCGUCAUUGCUGCCCUCAAGCCCGGCUUGUGUGUUGGGUCGUCGUCCCCCCCGGGGGACGGGCCCGAAAGGCAGCGGCGGCACCGUGUCCGGUCCUCGAGCGUAUGGGGCUUUGUCACCCGCUCGAUUAGGGCCGGCCGGGCGCCAGCCGGCGUCUCCAACCUUAUUUCUCAGGUGACCUCGAUCAGUAGU